AAUAAGACUGUGCUGAAUCGAUUGAAAUAUAUUGUAUUCACUGAAAACUCAAAAACAGUUUAAAAUAUCUAGAUACUAAAUCUCUGAUGUUCCAAGCAGUGUAGAUCCAGUCCUGACAUUAUAAUGCACCUAUGAACUAAUUAGAAGUUGUUAUAUUCUGUGCUUAAAAGUUUUUCCUUGGAAUGUAAACGUUGAUUUGCCAUUUCAAAAUGUUUUCACUUGAUCUAAAUUUAGCCUACUGAAGAGACAGUUGUUUUUGGGUUUUUUUCAUUAUCAAUAUAAUACAUUCUGAUCCCAUAUUUGUCUAAGAAAAACAGAAAUUUUGUUUACAAAAAAAAAUAUUUUAA